AAGAGGAGCCUGAGCAGCCUUUCUCCUAGGAGACAAGCCCUCUCUUGCUGUCCAUGUGAUAUGGAUGCAAGAAUAUGGAGUACAAUGCAUGGGAGCUUACUUUUAAGUCAUAUUAACCUUUUUCACUAGUAAAAUGUGGCCUCAUCUAUAUCCUGGGAUUAAACCAAUUAAUUUAGCAACACCAUUGGUGCUGGUAGUAGGCCCAAUUAAGGAGAUCGGCAAGGGAUAGAGGUGUUUGAGGAGAAGUGACUCUUUAGGAUUAUUGUCCUCUCGAGUCAUUGGACUUAACAGCCAAGCCUCUGGUCAGUCAGAGGUGUGGCUGUAUCCCAAAGAGGAUAUGACCAGUCAUGACCAGCAGAUACCUUCUUUUAUCUUCCUGAGGCUUCUUCUCUGCUAUAUACCCUUGCCCCUUUGUAUCCUCCUGGAACAGUGACAUGAGCAGUUAAAUUACUGUCUCUAAGCCUCUGAAAUGAGUCAGAACUGGAAUUGAUUAAUGCCUCCAAGGGCAUUUUGAGCAUUAGGUCAAAAAUUUAUUGUUUAUUUUAUUUCCCAUGCAAACCAUAACCACAUCAUCCAACCCAG
rnacentral:lncRNA from 1 species